UACGGAGGGUGCGAGCGUUGUCCGGAAUCACUGGGCGUAAAGGGCGCGUAGGUGGCGCGGGAAGUCAACGGUGAAAGCUCAGGGCUCAACCCUGAGUCGGCCGUCGAUACUCCCGGGCUCGAGCACUGUAGAGGCAGGUGGAAUUCCGGGUGUAGCGGUGGAAUGCGUAGAGAUCCGGAAGAACACCAGUGGCGAAGGCGGUCUGCUGGGCAGUGGGAUCGGAAGGUCCCUUCAACCGACACUGAGGCGCGACAGCGUGGGGAGCAAACAGGG
rnacentral:rRNA from 1 species